UUCUCUCCCACUGAGCUCCUUGCUCACCAUUUGAAUCAUUACUAUCAAUACAGCUUCCCCUGUCCACAGGUGGAGCCUGCAUUCUGAUUUCUAGACAUCUGGCUUUGGCUUCAGUUAAAUUAAAAAGUUCUAAGUUUUCAUGAUCUCAUUUUAGCAAACGGUUUGUGCCUGCUGGCCAGCUGCAGAACGGCUUCAGGGUUAAUAUUCUUGAAAUCACAUGAAGCCCAGGCUGAUAAAGAAGACAAAGAUGGCAACCACAAACACUCAGGACUGGUGAGAUGUGAAUUGUCCUAAGUAUCUGCUGGAGGGCAUGGCCUCUGGACACACACAUCUGUGGUAUGGUAAAUCCGGAUUUGAGCAAAUCAGCAACAGAGCCUCAGGAAUUAUUUAUGCACCUAAUGACCACUGAUUGUAGUAGGAGACCAUGGCUUUUGGAGGUCCCUGUUCUGCUUUUCCUUGACCUCCAGACAAAGUUCCCAGAAGGCUGUCAAAAUCUUCAGUCCUCCUGUAUUUCAUGUUAUCUUCAAGUGGUCUGGCUUACAGCACUGGCCCUGGAGAAACCAGCAAGGGUGUGCAGGCAGUGGGCAUCUGCAAAUGG
rnacentral:lncRNA from 1 species